rnacentral:lncRNA from 1 species
CCGGGAACGCAGGGUGCCCAGAACCAGCGGCGCCUUCCUGCUCCGGAGCGGGACCCUUUGCUUUUAAAAAGCCAGACGCAAACAGGGGCGGCACGGGGGAGCUCGCCGGGGACAGCGCAUGCGGAGGGCAGUAGAUCGGUGCGUUUCGGAUGCAUCUCCUUUGACACCCCCAUGCCCUUGCAAGCCACAAGGGCCGAGUCAGCUGGCCGCCCGCUGCAGACGGAGCCGAUUCAGCACCCCAGCAUGGGGACAGCUCUUUGCAGGGCUCUCCAGUCGGCCCGGCCUGGCUUUGAAUGGGCAGCAGGACACAGCUCCUUGCUGCUUCGAAUCAGAACCCUCGGGACAGUUUGAACGGAAACAGACCCUCCCUCCGCCAGCGCUCCAGGGCAGCCGCUGGCUCUGGGAGCUGCACUUUUCAGACCCCAGCAAGGGAUGCUCUCUCCCACGGACUUAGAGGCUUGCUCCUGGCGAUCUUCUAAUUCCACCCGAAGCAGCGAGAUGUGAGAUUUAGACCAAGCAGAGAUUUAACUGAAAAUGCUGGACAAGUGGAUCCUCCUCCUGUCAUUAUUAACAACCCACAUUCGGAGCAAAACCCAGGAUCCAUACAGGCAGGAAUGCAAUACAAGGGGAAUCCAGUGUCACCCAAAGGCAAUUUGUCAGCUGGAUGAAGUGACAACCUAUUUCUAUUGCCAAUGUCUGCCAGGAUAUGAGGGUGAUGGCACUAAUUACUGUCAAGAGCCUGCUGUGAGCAUCACUGUUUUCAAUAACUCUGAUUGUGAUGGCUUUGGAGAGCAGGUUUGUCUUAUCAAAGUAAUGACUGGAAGAACAGUCACUUUCAGAGUCUCUAUCGCUGGGAACCACCAGCCGUCUAUGAUAAAAUGGUACAAAUUCUACUCUGCCCAAGGACCCCAGUUCCACAGUUAUCGAAGGAGAUUGACACCAGCUGCUAACAUGUCCCCAAAGAUGACUCUGGCCAACAGCAGUCUGGCUCUGAAGCUGUUUUCCAUUGAUGAGGAUGAUUUUUACCCAAACAUGUUCUGGGCUGAAAUCCAAGCAAAAGCCUUACCUGAUAAACAGGCGAAGAUUGAAGCCUAUGAUUUCACAGACUUUCAGAUGUUAAACCCUUCUCACUUGAGAUACUUUUUCGUCCUAGAAAGAAUGCCAAUAGAGCUUGGACAGUUUUUAGAAGGAGACACUAUUACCAUCCAGCUGCCCCAGUAUCUUCAGGUGUCUCCCUCCAGCUUUGUAAAGUGGACCAAGGAGCCUUCGCUCAUGACGCUGUUUGACACCAAUGCUGUUGUGCUGGCCAACGGGACUGAGGGGAUUGAGAUCAAAGGAGUAAAGUAUGAUUGUAAUCUGCUGUAUUUUCAGCCUGUAAACUCCUGUUUCCUUCUCAGUGUCCAGGAGUAA